UACGUAGGAGGCAAGCGUUGUCCGGAUUUACUGGGCGUAAAGAGCGUGUAGGCGGUUUGGUAAGUCUGCUGUGAAAGCUCUCGGCUUAACCGGGAGAGGUCGGUGGAAACUACCAGACUUGAGGACGGUAGAGGGGGGUGGAAUUCCCGGUGUAGUGGUGAAAUGCGUAGAGAUCGGGAGGAACACCAGUGGCGAAGGCGGCCCCCUGGGCCGCUCCUGACGCUGAGACGCGAAGGCCAGGGUAGCGAACGGGAUUAGAAACCCCCGUAGUCC
rnacentral:rRNA from 1 species